ensembl:lncRNA
CAGUGUACCCUUGACCAACACAAUGCUCUACUCCUCAAGGGCCAGAGAGCCGGAUUUUUCCAAGCAGCUUUCCACUUGACUUAGUCUUCCAUAUCUGAAAGCUCCCCGGGGUUGGCGGGGGAUGUUUUACAGUGAACAUGGGUGCAGUAUGGAGAAGCCAGUUCAUGAAUGGGAGCAAGCUAUAAAAUUAGGUGAGAGUCAAACUUCUGGAGUCAAGAAAUCCUCUUGCCUCAGCCUGCUAAAUGGCUGGAACUACAGACAUGCACCCUGUGCCCAGCAGAAUCUGGAUUUCUUGAUCUCCACUCCUGAUUUGAUAAAGGGAUGGGCAAUUUUCUUU